UACGUAGGUCCCGAGCGUUGUCCGGAUUUAUUGGGCGUAAAGGGAGCGUAGACGGCUGUGCAAGUCUGGAGUGAAAGGCAUGGGCUCAACCUGUGGACUGCUUUGGAAACUGUGCGGCUUGAGUGUCGGAGAGGCAAGUGGAAUUCCUAGUAUAGCGGUGAAAUGCGUAGAUAUUAUGAGGAACACCAGUGGCGAAGGCGGCUUGCUGGACGAUGACUGACGUUGAGGCUCGAAAGCGUGGGGAGCAAACAGG
rnacentral:rRNA from 1 species